ACUAUUUAAAGAUAGUGUUAGAAAUUGGGGAUCCUCAUACUAUCUCAUUUAAACAGAGGUCCCCGCAUACAAGUCGUGCCUGGGAGCACAGCCUGGCUGGUCCUGUCUGGUUUAUCCUGUCUGACCUUGGAGCGGGAGGAGCGGGGUGGUUUCAGGGGAAUCUCUUUGGGUCCCUCUGUGCCUGGCGUGGACGGGCCAGGAACUGUAGGCCUCGGGGCAGAGGGUUCUUGGAGAAGGGGGGUGAGGACGUGGAGGGAGAUGAGGGGGGCUCGGCCUUGAUGCAAGUGGAAGUAUGGCCAGAGUGGGAGGCAGACUCCUUCCCCAGGGGAGAUGGGCCCCUUGUAAGCUGGGAGACACUCCCGACAAGGAAAGGCCUGGGAUUACCAUGAGGACUCUUGGGACACCUGUUGUAAUUGGACGGUCAGCCCUCAGAGGACAUUUUCACGCCUGGGCCAGCUUUAAUUUCCACACUCACGCCGUGAGGCAAGCGAGUGUGCCGGAGCCUCAGGGCCGAAGUGACUUGCCCCGGAGCUCUAAUUAGCAGUGGCCGUGGCAUCGGGAGCGAGACCACGGAGCGUCCCGGCAGCAGCCGGCUGAUGAGGGAAGCUAGCGAGGGGUGGGCUGUGCACAGGUGGAGGCGAGCGCCAUCCAGACGGGGGCAGUUAGAAUUCAUUUAUCGAAACUGAUGUUUCCCCGGCGUCUGCUCUGUGUCGGGCACCAUCCUCGCCGCCUGGCCCGGGACAGAGUUCCCAUUGCCCCGCACUGAGAGAGCCCAGGUCAGGAAGGAAGAGACGGUGUGCAAAGUCAAGUGUUCCCGUUUCCACCGUGGAAGGAGAAAGCAGGAACGCGUGCCCUGGGUCGGGGGUGGACAGUGGCCGCUGGGGGGCCCCGAGGGAACCUCGGCCAGAGAGCCUGUUUUCGUUCCAUGGUAUCCGUAUGCCCAGCCUCGUGACCCGACGGGAGGCCAGACCAGAGGGGGCCUCAGUGUCUGCCCCCAUCGCCCUGAAAAGGUCACGUGGUCGUUGCCAGCUCAUUUUGGCUAAUUUGGUUGUCGGCAGAGGGACAGGACAGCUGGCCUUGGACCUACUAAUUAUAGCCACUCGGGUGUUUGAGCGAGGUACCUAGUCCCCCAUGUCGUGUUUUUUUUCCUGCAGACAAAUGCUCCCUUUGACCUUUGUUCCUGAGUGCCGGCCGGCCAAACCCCUGUCCCAUGUAUUGCCCAGCACAGCGCCCCCCACCCCACCAACAAGCCCCCCCCCCGCCCCCCCGCCAGGGGGAGGUCAGCAUGGUACCUCCAUCACAAGUCUUACCUUUGAUGCACUUGUUCAGCAGCUCUGAUCCUGUCGCCUUGUCGACUGGAAUCUGCCUUCUUUCUACAAAGUAAUCGGAUACAUUUAUUUCUUUAAUCGUGAAAGUCCAGGCCUUGGGACGUGCAUGCACGUUUCCCUGUUCUAACCCCAGCCCGUUCCACAGCCUGCCUUCCUGCUUCUCUCCCAGGCCUGUGUCCCAUUCCUACGUUCGGGUACGUCCAUCCUACGUCUUGAGUACUUACUAUGUGCCAGAUAGCCUGUGAAGGUGUUACUUUUAUCGUCCCCGUUUUCCAGAAGAGGCACCUGAGGCUCGGGGGCAAAUCUCGAAUCGUUCACAGGCCUGACCUCAUUCUCCAGCUGGGUCUGGCCUGAGGUCGCACCUCCCGUGGACGCACAAGCCACCGAGUCCACACUGGUGCUCGUGCUCAGCUCUCCCCCUGGACUCCCGAGCUCUUGGCAAGACCCCUGUUCUUGUCAGACCCCCAGUUGGCUCUUGGCAAAUGCACAUGAGAGUUGAUGUGAGUCUGGGGUCUGGGUCCCUUGUGUGACCCCGAGAAAGACUCUUGUAAGUAGCAUCUGCCCAGGCUGCUGGCCCUUCCCUCACCUGGGGCCCCGCCCAUGGGGGCCCCCGUGGUGUUCUGUCCUGCCCCUGGUGCCAGUGUGUGCCUGCUAUGCCAUCCCACCCUCCCUUGGCACACAGUAGGGCUGCAGGCAGCAGGUGAGGCCCGAGGCGGCGUCUCCGAGAGGGGGGCUCCGAGAGGCGGGCUGAACUCUGUGAGCAGUCUCUUUUCCCCCCUCCCAGGUGGCUGGAGGUGAGACAGCUUUUCCCCCAGAAAGGGAGCAGAUGCCUGGCCCAGGAUCGAAUCGAAAGGUCUGAAAAAUGCAUUUAUUUUUUCUGAGUUGUAAAUUUGGACAAUUUGCAAAUGUGUGGGCCCCUCAGAAUGGAACUAACCUGAGCCUUUUAUUUUGCAGUUGAGGCUCACUGCCCCCUGGAUGGGCAGUGAGUCAGUGGAUUCCAGAGGCCAGGGUGCGGCCCAGCCCUGGCCCCUGUACCCUCGGGAUACCACACCUGCCCAGAGGGGAAUGGGACCCUCCUACGCUGACCCCCACAGCAGACCAGUGCCCUCGGCCCCCUGUGUUGCCUGGAUCUGACUUCCCCUGACUGAAAAGACCUCCCAUUUUCUCCUGAGGACUGCACACUGGUUGGCGCGUUCGAAGCAGUGUCCAAAAUCUUUCCUGCAUUUUCAGGGGGGGGCGCUGGGCUUACAGAAGGUGAGAGGACUUUGAGAGGUUAGUGACUUGCCCAAAUUCUGCUAGGAAGCAAGACCCAGGAUUCCAAUCCAGGACUGCUGUGAGGAUCAAACAAGAUAAUGUAUGCUAAGGCAUGCUGUGAACACUACGUGCUGGGUACAGGAGAACAGAGGCCCCAGAGUGGGUCUAUUGACGCUCUGUUGAUCGAGAUCUUGGCUGUGACCUCUCUGGCAAGUGAACCAUGGAUCAACCAACAUGAGUGAUGGUGAAAGCCAUUGAAAAUGAUCCAGGGUGUUCAUUUUUUAAACGGUUGCUUUCUCUUGCACGAAAUGGGCAUGCCAUAGUUCAUUUAAUCAUGCAAUAUUUAUGAGAAUUUUGAAUCUUAUUUGGAUGGAUAAGGUACAUUAAGAAAUAAAGAAUGCACUAGAGCUGAUUAGUCAUCUGUAAUGAUAAACAGCUUGCCUCUGUGGGUAAGGAGCCUGGAGGCUGAUAGUCAGCAUACCCAGUCUGAUUUAUCCACUAUCCCGUGCUGAAGAUCUUGGCUGUCACUUUUAUGGAUAAGGAGCAAAGUGACUCAUCCUGAUUUUUACCUCAGAAUGAAGACACCACGGUUGAUUUAAUCCUAUCUAAUGGUGAAGACUGUGGCUCUGUGGGUAAGGAGCAUUAAAUUCUGAGUCUGCAUUUUCACUAAGCGAACACACCACAGAUGAAGCAAUCAUUCUCUAAUGCUCAAGAUCUUGGCUUUAGCAAACUGUGGGGGUAAGGACAGAAGAAAUGGAUAAUGAACACACAGCUGAUUUAAUCGUUCUAUGAUCGUGAAGACAUGACUGUGAAUUCUGGGACUGAGAAACAUAAAGACCGAGUUAAAUCAGCAAAUUAAAAAGGAGUGAUGUUCUUGGAUCAGUGAUGACAGUGAGAAGUGAAUCAGCUUCCUGAGUAAUUUUGUACCACACAACUGUUGUCCUUUAAAUCAAUCUAAAUCUGGACUGUUCAUUCUUUCGAAUAUUGACACUUGACUCCAGAAUGGAGACCAUGGCUGAUUUAACCAGUCUCUACUGAUGAAGAUCUUGGCUGUUAUCUUUCUGGAAUGGAUGAACGAUGAAUCAAUUAUGGAGUAUAGAAACAUAAUGGAUGUGCCAGGCCAGUUGAAGCAUCUCCAUGGUCAUGAGCUGUUUGUUGCCUAGGAGCAUAGGGACCAGUAAUGGAUGCAGUUAAGCUGAUUCUCUGUGGUUGCCUCCAUUGUCAGGAACACAGACACUAAUAGUGGGCACACCAAGGUGAUGAAAGCCAUCUGCCAUGGUUACAGGCUCUAUAUGUAGGAGAUAGAGACCAGUAGUGGAUGCCCUGGAGCUAAUUUAAGGAUUCUUCCAUGGUCACAAGGCGUCUGCUUGUCUCUGUGUGUUUGGUGUAUAGAAAUAAUGGACACAUCCAAGGUGGUUUAAAUAGUAUGCCUGUAGGAACAUGGAAACCAACAAUAGGUACAUGCGUGAAGUUGGGUUGAAGCAUCUUUCAUGGUCACGAGCUCUGUGGUUGCCUUGUCUAAUGAGCAUAGAGGCCAACCAUGGAUGCACUCGAACUCACUUAGGUGUUUGGCCAUGAUCGGAUGCUCCAUGGAUGCCCCUUGCGUGUAAGAGGAUGGAGACCGAUAAUGGAACCCCAGGCUGAUUUUAGCUUCUGCUCUGAUCAAGAUCGACAUGUUGCUUCAGUGUUGGAGAGAGACCAAGGAUGGACAUACUCAAGCUGGUCGAAGAAUUCUUCCAUGGUCACAGUCCCUGUGGUUGCACCUGUGUUCCAGGUGUGCAUAGCCCAACAAAGAAAACACCUGAGCCGAUUUAAGCAUCCACCAUGUUUAGGCACUCCAGGGUAGCCUCUCGUGUGGGAGCAUGAAGUCCAACAAUCAACACAUUCCAGCUGAUACAGAUUUUUCACGGUCAAAAGGUCUGUGAUUUCCUGUGUGUUCGGGCCAUGGGGAUGAAUGUGGACACACGUGAACUGAUUAGGCACUUGGCUGUCAACAGGGGCUCCACUGGUGGUCCUUAUGUUGGUGCGUGUAGACCAAGAUGCCCCAAGGAGAUUUCAGCUUCUGUCAUGGUAAAGAUUGUCAAGAGACCAAGGUACCUGAAUGACUAAGUAAAUGAAAUGUGGUUCGCAAGAGGCAAUGGGAUAAGGUCCCAGUUUCCUUUAUCGUCUGCUCUGCUCUGUACUCUUCGGAAUGGACGCACUCACGCUGAUACAGGUGCUUCCAUGGUGACAUGCUUUCUGAUUGCAUACGUGUGUUUGGAGCAUAGAGACCAAUAAUGGAUGCACUUGGGGUGAUGUAAGCAUCGUCCAUGGCCACGAGCUCUGUGGUUGCAUGUAUGCAUUAGGAGCGUGGAGACCAAUAAUGGACGCACUCAAGGUCAUUCACGCGUCUUCAGGUUUAGUAGCUGUGUGCUUUGCAUCUGCGUCUUAGGAGCCUGGACGACAAUAAUGGAUGUGUUCCAGCUGAUAGAAGAUCAUCCAUGGUCGGGUGCACUAUGUUUUGGGGAGCAUGGAGACCAGCAAUGGGACCCGUCGAGAUUUAAGGAUUCUUCCACGGUCACGUGAUCUCAGGUUGCAUUCAUGUGUCAGGAACAUGGAGACCAUAAUGGUUGCACUCGGCUGAAUUAGACUUCCCACCAUAGUCAUGAGCCCUAUGUUUGCCUCUAUGUGUUAAGAGCAUGGAUCACAACAAUGAACUCCCUAGGGAUGAUGCUCCAUGGGCAUACGUUCGCCUCUGUGUAACAGGGAGGAUGGAAAUUAAUGUAAGUAAUAGUUGAAGUUUUUUUCUCAGUUUAAGUGGGUUUAAGGUUAUGCACUGCAUUAUUAAAAAGUGUAAAAUAUAAUUAAGGAAGGCAGCUGUAUCUCAGUGUUAAAUAUGGGAUGUAUGAAACGCAUUGAUUAAAGCACACAGGAAAAGCUGAGGAUAUUAAUGAGAGAGCUAUAUUGAGGUGAGAUUAAUUCUAUAUUUAGAUUUGAGACUUCAAGUCUCUUUUUUAAAAUUGUACUGCUUAAAAAUUAUUAGUGAAUUCAUGAAUUCACUAAUUAGUGCGUUAGUGGAUUACUUGAUCAAUAAACAAAUACGAAUCUAUGUAGGAAAAGAGGGACGAUAUUGGAUCAAUGAUGACCACUGGUGGCGUAUGAGUCGUUCGCGAUGAAUACGUGUCUGGAACUCUGAGGUCCAACAGAAAAUUGGUCUAGGCCAUUCCUAUUGUUUGAAGGCAUCCUAUGGACAGAUUUCAGGAAUAAAUAAAGGGUUUAUUUUUGGUCUUGGUAUGCAUGUAUUUUU